AUUAGCAGUCGGGGUGUUAGAAGCAAAUUGCCGCAGGCCACAUUAUAUGAUAGGAACAGAUGGCAUCACAAGGUGCAAGGUGUGCGACACAAACGCUUGCGGGGACAAAAAAGAUGUUUGCCCUUCGAACUAUUGUCCUAAUGAUGACAAGAUUUUAGAUAAAUGCCGUAUCAAACAGUAUACUAUAGGUCGUGACGGGAUCACGGUAUGUCCAGUAUGUGACAAAGACGCGUGUAGAAAAACACAUAGUCACGGACAUGAAGUUAUUGUAGCAUAAUUAUGACAUAAAUGUAAUAAACCACUAUGAAGUUUA